AUUGAACGCUGGCGGCAUGCUUUACACAUGCAAGUCGAACGGUAACAGGUUAAGCUGACGAGUGGCGAACGGGUGAGUAAUGCAUCGGAACGUGCCCGAUCGUGGGGGAUAACGCAGCGAAAGCUGCGCUAAUACCGCAUACGAUCUGAGGAUGAAAGCGGGGGACCGGAAGGCCUCGCGCGAUCGGAGCGGCCGAUGUCAGAUUAGGUAGUUGGUGGGUAAAGGCCCACCAAGCCGACGAUUUGUAGCUGGUCUGAGAGGACGACCAGCCACACUGGGACUGAGACACGGCCCAGACUCCUACGGGAGGCAGCAGUGGGGAAUUUUGGACAAUGGGCGAAAGCCUGAUCCAGCAAUGCCGCGUGCAGGAAGAAGGCCUUCGGGUUGUAAACUGCUUUUGUACGGAGCGAAAAGGUCCUUUCUAAUACAAGGGGCUCAUGACGGUACCGUAAGAAUAAGCACCGGCUAACUACGUGCCAGCAGCCGCAGUAA
rnacentral:rRNA from 1 species